rnacentral:rRNA from 1 species
GACGGUACCUUGAUAAGAAGCACCGGCUAACUACGUGCCAGCAGCCGCGGUAAUACGUAGGGUGCGAGCGUUAAUCGAAAUUACUGGGCGUAAAGCGUGCGCAGGCGGUUUUGUAAGUCGGAUGUGAAAUCCCCGGGCUCAACCUGGGAACUGCGUUCGAAACUGCUAGGCUAGAGUGUGUCAGAGGGGGGUGGAAUUCCACGUGUAGCA